CAGCUGAACUUGCCGAUGAAUCUCAGCCACCUUGUGCGGUAGCUCGUUGGAGAUCAAGCCCAUCAUGGUCUGUCUCCAUUCUUCGUUCAGAUUCAACUUCUAGUGUUUUCAUUUUCACUCCAAUUUUCUUUUUAUUUCUCUUCAAAUGCUUACAUUUUACCCACAAUAUUAAGGUAUUUUUAUCAAAGUUUCAUUAUUUCUAUUGUUUGUAUUUGUACCGUAUAUUAACUUCAAAUGCUUUCAUUUUACCCACAAUUUGAUAUAUUGAUGGUUCUUUUUAUGGAAAACAUCCCUCAUAGUUUUUCUUUUAUAGGAGAUACGUGUUUGUUUUGUCUACCAUCCUAUUUAAUAUUGUUCUUUACGAUCAUUUUUCUAAUGUGAAUCUACAUUUUUUCUUUAUGAUGGGCUAUGUGAUGAAGCAUUUUGGUAGCUUCCAAUGUGUUUGAUGAAAUGCCUCAAUGAAGCAUUUGGUUGAUUUUUAAUUGAUUUUUGUUUGUUCGAAUUAGGAAAUCAAGGCCAAAGGAGAUUUCGAGAUUUCAUGGCUAUGGGCUGAAGCUUUGAGAAAAAGAGAAUGAAAAACGAAAUGUGAGAUUUUAAACUUUGAUGAUGUGUAGGGUGUUUUUGUUUGUCUAUGCAUUUCCCAAGUGAACUUGAGUACUUUUGGUUUUUCUAUUGAUCUUUUGUUUAUGGUUACUAUUGAGUUGUAUAGUAAUUGCAUGAUAGUUAUAACAUAAACAAACUAUAUAUAUAAACUUGAACACAAGUGCUUAUUAUCUAACUCAUUACUAAAUUGUUGUAAUUUGGUUACUCUUGAUUUACUAAUGAUUGAAGAUUAAAAGAAGUUAUGAACAUUUUCACUAUGAGCAAGAAAUAAACUCUUUAUGUUGCUAAUGAACUUAUCUUGAUUUAUAGGAAGCUCUGAUAAAUCAUCAAUUUAAGCAAUUGUUUUGGCCUUGUUAUAGUUGUGAAUUCUAUUUGGUUUGUUAUCUAUUUGGUUUUUGACUUUAAGUUUUUUAAACUUAAGCCUAUACACGUUUUUUUUACCUCUACUUUUUAUUAAUGUUUUUAAAAUUAGGCCAAAUUAGUGUUUCUGAAAUGUCAUUAUUAUAUGUGCUAUAAGUCUUAAAGAAGUUACUCGUACAGAGAGAGAAGCAUUACAUGCUAGAAAACAAAGAUUCUAGUGACGCCCAUUAUAUAGUUCCAGACUUGGAGAGUUGGUUACACAGAAAGAAAAUUAGCAAAGACAGUGCAAGCGUUGGAGAUGAGCCCAUUUUUAAGGGGUCGUUUGAAACACAAAGGAAGAGACAAGAAUACGAAGGCUUUCUACCCUUUAUUUUGUAUUGGUAUGAUUGGGACGUGGUGCAAAUAGUGGAUAUAUGUACGUACGGUCUGUGCAAAGAAAAAAAAUUGCUUUCUCGUAUGUUGGUAAGCAAUGGUUUAUAUUAUUUAAACUAUAAUUUCUAUUGUCGUCGCUAUUGCUUAAACAACUGUGAAGAGAAAAGAAAAAAAAGGAAUGGGUAAAGUUAGCUUUCGUUGGCAUAAAUUGGGACUAUUAAGUUGGCGAGGCCAGAAGUGGAGGAGGACAUUAAAACAGUAAAACGAAUUAAACAAAAAAGGGUCCAUAUUGCAAAGUUGUAAUCAAUGAAGAUCAGUUCAAUUUUUAUUUAUAUUUUA